rnacentral:snRNA from 1 species
AUACCUUUCUCGGCCUUUUGGCUAAGAUCAAGUGUAGUAUCUGUUCUUAUCAGUUUAAUAUCUGAUACGUGGGCCAUCGGCCCACAUGAUAUUAAAUUAAUUUUUUCAUGGGGAGGGCCCAUCACUGCAGCUUGCUGCAGGGGCCCUCGAGCGUCGCCCUUGCGUUGCACUUCUGCAUGGGCCUGGCGCACCCUAC